rnacentral:lncRNA from 1 species
AUGCUCAAACCGUACAAAAUAUCUGAAGAUAUAUAUCUAAGAACAACAGUGGGGCAUAUUCCGAUUCCGUUUCAAAACCGGACCGUCCGAUUUCGUCCAAAAAAUCGACGGUUCGAUUCCGUCCCUAAAAAAAGAGGGCCCAAUUUGCAUCGCCCGAUACCGUCCCGACGAAAAACCGACUUGGCAACCACGUAUUCACCUGAUUUUCCGCACACUCCUUGACGACACUACAUAUCGGUGCUUCUCUGACAUAAGGGCGUAUCUCGAUUUCCAGGUGAGCCCUCAAUAGCAUAGAUUUAUAUGGGAAAUAGGGCUCACGUGAAAAUCGAGAUACGCCCUCACGUCAGAGAGGCAACGAUAUAUAUGGCGUGCGCACGCUAUAUUUGCAUUAUCAGAUGAGGUAAAUCGAAAAAUUCUGCCGGUACCUCGAAGAAAAUUACAUUUUGGAAAGUGCAUCCCUGCAUUUAGGCGGGAAAACUGGCUCCUUUAAAAAGCACAAACGCCUGUGAAAGCUUUCUUUCUCAGGCUCUCGCACGAACAUAUUUUUUAUUGUGGAAGUGUUAAAGAUAUUUUCUCGGGACUCACAAAUAACUAUUAAUUCUGCAGCAAAAUUAGACGCACCGCGCGGUGCCUCGCAAACUCUAAGUAAGAUAAGAUUACUGGAAAUUAGAAUGGACCACUAGACAAGGUACGAAUUUAAGCAUUCUGAUACAUGUUUCUUGACCAGAAGCUGAGCCAAAGCGUCAAGAUUGAGGUUGCCAGAUUUGUAUAUCGCAGAGACUGUCAUGAUGACGUUUAGCGAGCGAUGUGAGUCGCGUAGAGAAUUGAGUUUUCAUAAGCGGGUGGUUUGAAUUCACGCAUCAAAAAUCAUUGAAUAUCUUCGUAAGGAGUUAAUUUCGGUAAUUUUUACUGUGCGCAUCGUGUUUUACGUGAAAUUUUGGUGAAGAAACAUGUAUCAAAAUGCUGAAAUUCGUACCUUGUCUAGUGGUCCAUUAAAGAAUUCGACUCCGGCUCCAGAUCUCGCCUGGAAUUUGUGAAGGUCCUCUCGAAUAGAAACACC